rnacentral:rRNA from 1 species
GGAUUAGAUACCCUGGUAGUCCUAGCUGUAAACGAUGGAUACUAGACGUAGGAACUGGAUUGACGGUUUCUGUGUCGCAGCUAACGCGUUAAGUACUCCGCCUGGGGACUACGGCCGCAAGGCUGAAACUCAAAGGAAUUGACGGGGACCCGCACAAGCGGUGGAACAUGUGGUUUAAUUCGAUGCAACGCGAAGAACCUUACCUGGACUUGACAUGUUAGUGAAAUCUCUACGAAAGUAGAGCCUUCUGCGAGCUUGCUCAAAGACACUAUCACAGGUGAUGCAUGGCUGUCGUCAGCUCGUGCCG